GAUGAACGCUAGCGGCAGGCUUAACACAUGCAAGUCGAGGGGCAGCGCGGGUAGCAAUACCUGGCGGCGACCGGCGAAAGGGUGAGUAACGCGUGAGCAACGUGCCCGUAUGUGGGGGAUAGUCAUUAGAAAUGAUGCGUAAUACCCCGUAACACAAGGAAUCGCAUGGUUCUUUGUUGAAAGAUUCAUUGCAUACGGAUCGGCUCGCGUGCCAUUAGGUAGACGGCGGGGUAACGGCCCACCGUGCCGACGAUGGCUAGGGGUUCUGAGAGGAAGGUCCCCCACAUUGGAACUGAGACACGGUCCAGACUCCUACGGGAGGCAGCAGUGAGGAAUAUUGGACAAUGGCCGGAAGGCUGAUCCAGCCAUGCCGCGUGCGGGAAGGCGGCCCUAUGGGUUGUAAACCGCUUUUGCGGGGGAGCAAUAAGGUGCACGUGUGCACCGAUGAGAGUACCCUGCGAAUAAGCAUCGGCUAACUCCGUGCCAGCAGCCGCGGUAAUACGGAAGGUCCGGGCGUUAUCCGGAUUUAUUGGGUUUAAAGGGAGCGCAGGCGGACUGCUAAGCGUGCCGUGAAAGCGCGGGGCUCAACCCCGUACAGCGGCGCGAACUGGCGGUCUUGGUUGCGGGAAGGGGAGGCGGAACUCGUGGUGUAGCGGUGAAAUGCAUAGAUAUCACGAAGAACUCCGAUCGCGAAGGCAGCCUCCCGGCCCGCCAACGACGCUCAUGCUCGAAGGCGCGGGUAUCAAACA
rnacentral:rRNA from 1 species